rnacentral:misc_RNA from 1 species
GCACAACAAGACCGCUUCGCUCAUCGAGCAAGAGUCUAUAGAUAGCUCGAAGCUUCUGGAUCCGGCAAUGUACAAUGUGGUGGUGGAUGUGUUGAGUUCUGUGCAAUCGAUUCGGCAGGAUUUGACGUCACAGGAGCAUUUGAAGAGGAUAAGAAAGGAAUGGCAGAUGCUUGCAAGGUAAUCGCUACGAGACCCAACGCUACGAGACCCUGCGCUACAAAGCCUAUCGCGGUAGAUCAGAAGACCUUUUCUGAAUAUUUAAUCAAUUUUAUUGGGGGGGGGGGGGGGGGAGCAAAAUAAUUUUUUGCACAUGAUCAUCUGAAAAAUGCAAUGACCAAAAAAUUGGUGGCAAAAAUUUAAUUGCAGGGGCUUUUUCAUUUUUUCCUUUUGUGCGUUCCAACGAAUUCUGGCAGGAAAAUUAGAAACUACAAACUACAAACUACAAUAAACUAGUUUUUUUUUCCAAAUUUUCCUGUGUUUUCGAAAAUUACUGUUACGAGUUAAAAACAUCUAAAAAUUAAGAAUUUCGUAUUUCCAUUUUCAGAAAAAUCUUGAAAAAUAGAAAAAAAAAACAUUGCCGAUACUUGCUACAAACUAUAAACUACAAACUACAAACUACAAACUACAAUAAACUAGUUUUUCCCAACUUUCCUGAUUUUUCGAAAAUCACUGAUUUAAAAAAGUUUCAAAAUGAAAUUGGUGAGACCGAUCGUGGUGAGACCCAUCGUGAUGAGACCCAUCGUGGUGAGACCCUUCGUCUCGAGUCCUUUCCCUAAAACACAUGGUGUCAAAAUGUCCCAUUUUGAUUUGAUCUUCGAGAAAUGCGGGAGAUGAGACGCAGACUUUUCAACUGAUUUCGCAUGGUUAAGAGUGUGCUGACGUCACGUUUUUCUGAAUGCUCGAAAAAAUCAUAAUGUGGAUAUUCAUCAUUUCCACAGUCGCAUUUGCGUCCUUCAUGCUCUACGACACCCAGGAUCCGCCGAUUAUCACAAAUGAAGUUAUGCGUUCAAAAUCCACGUGAUAAGUGAAUCUCGACAUAUUCAUUAAUGUACAUAAAUAAAGUAUUGAUUC